rnacentral:rRNA from 2 species
UGCAGAAUCCCGUGAACCAUCGAGUCUUUGAACGCAAGUUGCGCCCGAAGCCAUCAGGCCGAGGGCACGCCUGCCUGGGCGUCA